rnacentral:lncRNA from 1 species
CAUUAGAGGAAUGGAAUGGUCUUGCUCUCUUCUUGGUGGUAAGGAAUUGGGUUCCUCAAAAAUUCCUUGAUAUUUGCCGAUUAUAAGUAACAAAUAACUCCUCGUUAUCAUUAACCACCUCCUAAACCUUUCCUGGCAUUAGAGGAAUGGAGUGGUCUUGCUCUCUUCUUGGUGGUAAGGAAUUGGGGUUCCUCAAAAAUUCCUUGGUAUUUGCUGAUUAUAGGUAACAAUAAUUCCUCAUUAUCAUUAACCCCCUCCUGAGCCUUUCUUGGUUGGGUUUUGUAUUGAAUGGAGUACAUUAGUUGGGUUCCUAAAAAAUUUCUCGGUAUUUGCCGAUUAUAGGUAACAAAACUCCUCGUUAUCAUUAACUCCCUCCUGAGCCUUUCCUGGUUGGGUUUUGUAUUGAAUGGAGUAUGUGUCUUCCCCUCCUUGUUGUGCCUUUAGGAGCCAUCUUCCCCGUCCUUUACCUAGUGCCCUUUACCUAGUGCCCUUUACCUAGUGCCUGCGUCAGUAAUCCUUCACCUUUUACUCCUUGAAUGAUCACUGGUUUUCCAUCCUUUGUUAAGAUAAUUUGCAUCUUUUUAAAGUUGAAGGACCCUGGGUUGUGUGUCUCUUCAUUCAGUAUGUUUCCCAAGAUCAUGCCAUAUAACCCCAGCUCCAUCAUCCUAAAGGUCCUCUUGAACUGUAUUUUCUGCAUUCUUCAGUGCAAAACAGAGGUCUGGUGUUGGCUGGUUAAGGCUUCCCUGUCGGCCACCAAUACCUUGAGUGCUGGGAAAGGUAUGUGUACUGCUGCUGUUCACAAGAAUAAGGGCAAGUCUGGUGUCUAUAGUUUCCCAGAUCUUGGUUGUACUACCCUUUCCAUUCAUUCUGAAAAUUUGCAAUUAAUUUUUUUUGUUACAGCAAUUUCAUUCUUUCACAUGACUGAUAAAAUGAAAAUGCCAAGGAGAACAUUCACACAGUGGCACAGCAGCAGUACAAAAACUAAUUUGGCUUAGAUAUCUGAGUGAUUUGAUGAGAUUAUGCUGUUGCUUUUGUUAAUUGUUACUACUUCCUCUCUGCUUUCCUGUCUCUCUUUCUUAUUUCAUACUAUUCUGGAUCUUGUCUUCUAUUUUUAUCAUUGUCUAAUUUCCCUG